UCAGGGCUUCCCAGUUCUCUGUCGCUAUGCCACAGUUUUUAAGGUUGGCUUUAAGCCCAUCUUUACAUCUCUUUUCCUGUCCACCAAUAUUACAUUUCCCGUUCUUGAGUUUGCAGUAUAGUAACUGCUUUAGGAGACAGUGAUUGGGCAUUCAGACAAUGUGGCCAGUCCAGUGGAGUCGAUGGCAUAGGAGCAUUGCUUCAAUGCUGGUGGUCUUUCCUUCUUUCAGCACAUUGACAUUUGUCCGCCUGUCUUCCAACCCUGCCCGGGACCACCUUCCACCUGGAAACCGAUGUACUCCCUGCAGGAGAACAUGCGGAUCAAGAAUAGGGCUCCACAGCCACCCACCAAGACACUGCACUUGGAGGACCACCAUCCUUGGGCUAUGAGGGAUUGCCUAAGUAAGUAACAUCUCAUGCCCCAGGAAAUCCCCUCCAGCCAUUUUCUGGGCAUCAUGUCAAUCAUAAAGGAUUAAAUUACCCAUCACCCUCAGAUCCAGUCCAUCUCUUCUGGCUCCAUAAUUCCAGCUGUGCAGGAGACAACAGGAAUCCAAGGUAUGGUCCGCCUGUCCUUGGUGCAGCUACUUGGACACUCAUCACCUGGCACGACAGUUCCUAAUGAUGAGAAAGUCAUGCCCCAUUUCCACAAUGACAUUUCACCUUUCCCCAGAACUGGAUUGCCAGAACUGAAUCCCAUCACUGACAAUACUCCACAGGAAACACAAUGGACACGAGCACUUAAUGGGUCACUCAUGUAUACAAAGAACAAUGAUAAAAUGCAUGGGACUUGAUAACUCCUCUUUGUUGUGUCACUCAAUGGGACAAAGGUUAUUCAUUCAACUGUACUUUACAGUCCUUUGUCUCCUGGGCCAGUCUGCCCCCGUCAGUCAUUGGAGAGCAGGAAUCUGCAUUGGAAGUGAGGAAUGCUCUCCUAUUGUAUGGCAUCUCAGCUUACUUUGGCGGAUUACCAUGAGCUGGCAUCACUUCAGCUGAUUUGAAUAAAAUACCUUGGUGACUUCUUCUUCAA